CCUACGGGGCGCAGCAGUGGGGAAUAUUGGACAAUGGGCGAAAGCCUGAUCCAGCCAUGCCGCGUGUGUGAAGAAGGCCUUCGGGUUGUAAAGCACUUUCAGUGGGGAAGAAAGCCUUGGGGCUAAUACCCUCGAGGAAGGACAUCACCCACAGAAGAAGCACCGGCUAACUCCGUGCCAGCAGCCGCGGUAAUACGGAGGGUGCGAGCGUUAAUCGGAAUUACUGGGCGUAAAGCGCGCGUAGGCGGUCUGAUAAGCCGGUUGUGAAAGCCCCGGGCUCAACCUGGGAACGGCAUCCGGAACUGGCAGGCUAGAGUGCAGGAGAGGAAGGUAGAAUUCCCGGUGUAGCGGUGAAAUGCGUAGAGAUCGGGAGGAAUACCAGUGGCGAAGGCGGCCUUCUGGACUGACACUGACGCUGAGGUGCGAAAGCGUGGGUAGCAAACAGGAUUAGAUACCCUGGUAGUC
rnacentral:rRNA from 1 species